rnacentral:rRNA from 1 species
GGACUACUCGGGUAUCUAAUCCCGUUCGCUCCCCUGGCUUUCGCUCUUGAGCGUCAGAGACUUCCCAGGACACUGCCUUCGCCUUUGGUGUUCCUCCGGAUAUCUACGCAUUUCACCACUACACCCGGAAUUCCGUGUCCCUCUGAAGCCCUCAAGUCCAGCAGUUUUCAAAGCCCUUUCUCGGUUAAGCCGAAAACUGUCACUUCGAACUGGCUGGACCGCCUGCGAGCGCUUUACGCCCAGUAACUCCGGACAACGCUUGCCCCCUACGUAUUACCGCGGCUGCUGGCAC